rnacentral:rRNA from 1 species
GUGUCAGCAGCCGCGGUAAUACGAGGGGGGCAAAUGUUGUUCGGAAUCACUGGGCGUAAAGGGAGCGUAGGCGGGUUUUUAAGUUGGAUGUUUAACCCCGGGGCCCAACCCCGGAUCGGCAUCCAAAACUGGAAAUCUUGAAUAGGGGAGAGGUCAGUGGAAUUGGAGGUGUAGCGGUGGAAUGCGUAGAGAUCUCCAAGAACACCAGUUGCGAAGGCGGCUGACUGGACCCAUAUUGACGCUGAGGCUCGAAAGCAUGGGGAGCAAACAGGAUUAGAAACCCCCGUAGUCC